rnacentral:rRNA from 1 species
UACGUAGGUGACAAGCGUUGUCCGGAUUUACUGGGCGUAAAGAGCGCGCAGGCGGUCGAUCAAGUCGAGUGUGAAAGCCUCCGGCUCAACUGGGGAGGGUCAUUCGAUACUGAUCGACUCGAAGGCAGGAGAGGGUAGUGGAAUUCCCGGUGUAGUGGUGAAAUGCGUAGAUAUGGGGAGGAACACCAGUGGCGAAGGCGGCAUCCUGGACCGACAUUGACGCUGAGGCGCGAAAGCCAGGGGAGCAAAGCGGG